GACGAACGCUGGCGGCGUGCCUAACACAUGCAAGUCGAGCGGAGUCGAUCGACGGAAGCCUUCGGGCGGAAGAUGGUUGACUUAGCGGCGGAUGGGUGAGUAACGCGUGGGCAACCUGCCUCGAAGACCGGGAUAACAGACCGAAAGGGCUGCUAAUACCGGAUGUGGUCAAGGAUCCGCAUGGAUCUUUGAUUAAAGGGGAAACCCGUUUCGAGAUGGGCCCGCGUCCUAAUCAGCUAGUUGGUGAGGUAAAAGCUCACCAAGGCGACGACGGGUAGCCGGCCUGAGAGGGUGACCGGCCACACUGGAACUGAGACACGGUCCAGACUCCUACGGGGGGCAGCAGUGGGGAAUCUUCCACAAUGGGCGAAAGCCUGAUGGAGCGACGCCGCGUGAGCGAAGAAGGCCUCGGUUGUAAAGCUCUGUCUGAGGACGAAGGAAGUGACGGUACUCCGGACGGAAGCCACGGCUAACUACGUGCCAGCAGCCGCGGUAACACGAGAGUA
rnacentral:rRNA from 1 species